UACGUAGGGGGCGAGCGUUGUCCGGAUUUAUUGGGCGUAAAGAGCGUGUAGGCGGCCAGGUAGGUCUGCUGUGAAAACUCGAGGCUCAACCUCGAGACGUCGGCGGAAACCAUCUGGCUAGAGUCCGGAAGAGGAGAGUGGAAUUCCUGGUGUAGCGGUGAAAUGCGCAGAUAUCGGGAGGAACACCAAUGGCGAAGGCAGCUCGCUGGGACGUGACUGACGCUGAGACGCGAAAGCGUGGGGAGCAAACAGG
rnacentral:rRNA from 1 species